rnacentral:lncRNA from 13 species
AUGUGUACCAAUACAUAUAAAUUGAGAUCAAAAUACUAUGUUGACCUCUGAAUUCCCAGAAAUAAAGAUGUAUUUUCUUAUGAUAGAAAUUCAACAAAUGGCUGGAUGCAGUGGCUCAUACCUGUAAUCUCAGCACUUUGGGAGGCUGAAGCGGGUGGAUCACUUGAAGUCAGAAGUUCAAGACCAUCCUGGCCAACAUGAUGAUACUCCAUCUCUACUAAAAAUACAAAAAUUAACCAGGCGUUGUGGCAGACCAUGGUUGCCCAUUGCUCUGUCUCUUGCACCUGGAGAGCUGUAGGAGCAAGGUUAAGCCUCAGAAUAUCACAUCAGAAAACAUUGAUGUUGCUUAAGGAUUGUGGAGGAGGAGAGGAUUAUUUUUGAAGAGCUAAGAUGCCUUCCUAGAGUAUUCAGAGACUGCAAUCAAUAGAAAUGAAAUAUAGACUCACUUGAGCUCCACAAAAUGAAGAAGAGUGCCAUCUAAUUGGCUAUAGGUGAACAAGUAGGAGAGCAUGAGAAAGUGAUGUAAGUGAUAUACUCUGUAAACAAUCACAGGGGCUAGUCAAUGGUUUUAUUUGUUACACCUAUACUAAAUAAUGGGAUGAAAUGUUACAUUACUUAUAUAGAUCGAUCAUUUCACAGGCAUAUUUAGAAAAUAAAUUGUUAUAUGUUAAAUAUUUUACCUAGUUG